GGAAGAGUAUCCUAAUGGUAAGGAAACGGUUUGCUAAACCGUCGAGGGCUAACCCCUCUUGCGAGUUCGACUCUCGUCUCUUCCUCCG
rnacentral:tRNA from 1 species